GCUGGCUCCCUCAGCUUGCAGGUCUGCAGCUUCUCUCCUAAGGGCAUGGAGAACACGAAACCACCAGGAGGAACGAACAACUCCAGAUGCACUGCCUUAAGAGCUGUAACAUUCAGUGUGAAGGUUUGCAGCUUUACUUCUGAAGCCAGCUAGACCACAAACCCACCAGAAAGAAGAAACUCCAAACACAUCUGAACAUCAGAAGGAACAAACUCCGGACACGCUGCCUUUAACAACUAUGACACUCACCACGAGGGUCUGCGACUUCAUUCUCGAAGUCAGUGAGACCAAGAACCCACCAAUUCCGGACACACUUAACAGACAUUGUGCUAGGCACUUUAUUCACUUAUCUGUAAUAAGACCGUGAUGUUCACAGGGCACUAUUUACUCAUUGAAUUUUAGAAUUACACUAGAGGUGGAGUUUAACUUCCGUUAGUAAUACAUUAGGCUUAGUAAAUAAUUUAGUGAGCCCCUUGAGAAUGAUCUAAGAUGUGAGCACCUAAUUGUACCAGAUGUAUGGUCAAUAUUAUUUCCUGUUGGAGACUCACGAUGAGAUUACAGAGAAAUUAGAAACUAAUUAAACAUACAGGACCAAAGUUUUCAUUCCCUAGUUCAAACUCACUUGUAAAUUUUACUUUAAGAUGCAGAAAUAAUUUCUUGCUUUGAAGAAUCUGUUUCUCUCUCUUUCCUUCUCUUUCAGUUUCUCUGUUUCCCUCUCUUGUUUCUCUAUUUGCCUCUCUCUCUCCCUGCCGCCCCCACUCUUUAUGUUAUAUGCUAGCAAAAGGAUGACACAAAGAUCGAUGUUCUCUAAAACAGAUAUUGCCUGUUUGAAGAGCUAAGAACAGCCCAAUCAAAAAAUAAACUAACACUGAUUUUUCAAAAAGCCAUACAUAGCAUCAGUGAUGAGGACAUCUUUUUUUUAAUUUGUUUUGUGUUUGAGACAGAGUCUUGCUGUGUCUCCCAGGCUAGAGUGGAGUGGUGCAGUCUUGGCUAACUGUAAGCUCUGCCUCCUGGAUUCGCGCCAUUCUCCUGCCUCAGCCUCCCGUGUAGCUGGGACUACAGGAGCCUGCCACCACACCUGGCUAAUUGUUUGUAUUUUUAGUAGAGAUGGGGUUUCACCGUGUUAGCCAGGAUGGUCUCGAUCUCCUGACAUCGUGAUCUGCCUGCCUCAGCCUCCCAAAGUGCUGGGAUUACAGGCAUGAGUCACUGCACCUGGCCGAAGACAUCUUGUUUUUGUUAUUACGGCUGUUUCAUUCAAGAAACUGAAAGUUAGGACAAGAUUUAUUUCCACGUAUAUAGGUAAGAGCUGCUCAACACAAUCAAUGGAUGUCUACACUAAUUUGAAUGAAAAACGCAGGACUCCAUUUAAAUGGAAAUAUGGUAGUUUAAAAUAAAAAAAGCUGAAGUUUUAAGCAUUCCAAUUCACAAUGUGAAUUGAGUCUUUUUUAUAUAAAAUGAGAUAAUGUAAGCAAGACACUUCUGUUUUAAUUGUUAUUGCUAUUGAGGUUAUCAUC
rnacentral:lncRNA from 1 species